CUGGGCCUCCUAAAGACUGCGGGGGCCGACCCUGUCCGCGCCCCUCCCUUCGGGCCCCGGAAGAUGCGGGUCCCAGAAUCAGGGGCAGCCCUGCGGGUCCCCGGAUCGCCACACUCCUGCUCCCUUGAGAUGGUACAAGCUUCAGGAAGGAAAAAUACAUCAUCUCUCUUGUUCAUUCCUGUAUCUUGAGCAUCUAAUACAGUGCCAAGCAUAUGCUUGGUUCUGGCUUAUGGUGGUGCAGCAGAUUGAACCUGGACUUUGGAGCUUCAGUGAAAGUAUUCCUAGUGAACACAAAAUCACCUAGAACCUCGAAAUGUAAACAACUUGGACUACAUAGAUACUGACUGAGAGCAGAUUUCAG